GACGAACGCUGGCGGCGUGCUUAACACAUGCCAGUCGAACGGAAAGGCCCUGCUUGCAGGGUACUCGAGUGGCGAACGGGUGAGUAACACGUGGGUGAUCUGCCCUGCACUUCGGGAUAAGCCUGGGAAACUGGGUCUAAUACCGGAUAGGAGCCAUUUUUAGUGUGAUGGUUGGAAAGUUUUUUCGGUGUAGGAUGAGCUCGCGGCCUAUCAGCUUGUUGGUAGGGUAAUGGCCUACCAAGGCGGCGACGGGUAGCCGGCCUGAGAGGGUGGACGGCCACAUUGGGACUGAGAUACGGCCCAGACUCCUACGGGAGGCAGCAGUGGGGAAUAUUGCACAAUGGGCGCAAGCCUGAUGCAGCGACGCCGCGUGGGGGAUGACGGCCUUCGGGUUGUAAACUCCUUUCGCUAGGGACGAAGCUUUUUGUGACGGUACCUAGAUAAGAAGCACCGGCUAACUACGUG
rnacentral:rRNA from 1 species